rnacentral:rRNA from 1 species
UACGUAGGGGGCAAGCGUUGUCCGGAUUCAUUGGGCGUAAAGCGCGUGUAGGCGGCCAGGUAGGUCCGACGUGAAAACUGGAGGCUCAACCUCCAGCUGUCGUUGGAAACCAUCUGGCUAGAGUCCGGAAGAGGAGAGUGGAAUUCCUGGUGUAGCGGUGAAAUGCGUAGAUAUCAAGAGGAACACCUGCGGCGAAGGCGGGUUGCUGGGCCGACACUGACGCUGAGGCGCGAAAGCUAGGGGAGCGAACGGG